UAAGGGAUAUUGGUCAAUGUGGGAAACCCUGAACCAGCAACGCCGCGUGAGGGAAGACGGUUUUCGGAUUGUAAACCUCUGUCCUCUGUGAAGAUGAUGACGGUAGCAGAGGAGGAAGCUCCGGCUAACUACGUGCC
rnacentral:rRNA from 1 species